GAAGGCAAGGCGUUAGUGUUGGCGGCAGUGGAGGAAAAGAGUUAGAGGUGGAAGAAGGGUUAGAGCAGUGGAUGGGAGGAGGAGUGUAGAGUGUAGAGAAGAGUUAAGAGAUGGAAGGAGUGGAAAAGGAGAGAGGAGGAGGAGAUUCAAAUGUGGAAGGAGGAGGAAAGAGAAGAAGUUAGAGGUGGAAUAAGAAGGGUUAGAGCAGUGGAUGGAAGGAGGAGAGUAGAGAAGUUAGAGGUGGAAGAAGAAGAGGAGAAGGAGAAGGAGAAGAUGAAGAGUUUGAGGUGGAAGAAGAAGGAUUAGCACUGUGAAUAGAGGAAGGAGAGAGAAGAAGAGUUAGAGGAGGAAGGAAGAGAGAGAAGAUAGAGGUGGAAGAAGGAUCACAGCUCUUGGUAGUGGAAGAAAGAAGUGGAGGAGGAGGAGGAAGAUGAAGGCUUAUCACUAACGGAGAAAGAAGAAGAAGGAGAGGAGGAGAUAGGGCAAUAAAGAAUAAAAAAGAAAUGGGAGGAGAAAAGGGGAAAAAAAGAAGAGCAAAAAAAAAAAAAAAAAAAAAAAAAAAGAAGAAGAAGAAGGGUGGUAGUGGUUUGGGGAGAGCUUGUAGUAGUAGUAGUAGUAGUAGUAGUAGUAGUAGUAGUAGUGGACAAAAUAGAUAAGUUAAAGUACAUCCAAAUAGACCUUAUAAGUAAACAGACCAAUUCCAUGACUUACUUAUAUCAAAUUACUCACAAACACUUAUCAGAAAAAAAAAUACUUAUAAAAACAAAUAUGCUAGAACAAGGAGAAAUAUUGAAUGACUGAAGUUGGUGGAUAAAUAAAUAAAAUAAAUCCUAAUACAAGUUUAAUUAAAAAAAAGUAUAUCUUGUAACACACACACACACACACACACACACACACACACACACACACACACACAGUAAUGACAUAAUAAAAGGAGCCUUACCUGAGCAUUCCAGUCUUAAUUAACGAGCCUCUUGAAGUCUUAUGUAAAGGUAGAUGUUAAAACGGACUUACCUCAACAUUAUUAUAAACUAAAUUACACCUUCUGACUUUAUUAUUAUUAUUACUGUUAUUUAUAUAUAUUUUUUUUAUCAAUAUCAAGAACAGACUUAUAUACUCCUCCUCCUCCUCACUUCCUCUUCCUCAUCUUUCAACACACACACACACACACACACAGACACACAUACAUACACAUACAUAUACACACGCACGCACACACACUCAGAGAAUUUCCAUAAAAUGUUGCAAUACACAGAGAGAGAGAGAGAGAGAGAGAGAGAGAGAGAGAGAGAGAGAGAGAGAGAGAGAGAGAGAGAGA